rnacentral:lncRNA from 1 species
CUCGAGAACAAAACUCUGCUAUUGUUUACAUUCAACUCCUGUUCAUCAAUUUUUCUCUCUGAUUUAGGCAUCGGAGGAUCUCCGUCGGACACAAAUCCAAUCUACGUGGAUGUUAUUUUGCAGGUGUUUAUUUCUGACGACAAGCGAUGGAGAGUUGGCCGCAAUAGAUUGAUGCGCCAGGUAGGGGGAAGAUAACUUGCAAUGACGAAAAUCAGGGCUCAACGAUCAAC